GAGCAGCCGUGCUCGAAGCGUUCCUGGAGCCCAAGCUCUCCUCCACAGGUGAAGACAGGGCCAGCAGGAGACACCAUGGGGCACCUCUCAGCCCCACUUCACAGAGUGCGUGUACCCUGGCAGGGGCUUCUGCUCACAGCCUCACUUCUAACCUUCUGGAACCCACCCACCACUGCCCAGCUCACUACUGAAUCCAUGCCAUUCAAUGUUGCAGAGGGGAAGGAGGUUCUUCUACUUGUCUACAAUCUGCCCCAGCAACUUUUUGGCUACAGCUGGUACAAAGGGGAAAGAGUGGAUGGCAACCGUCAAAUUGUAGGAUAUGUAAUAGGAACUCAACAAGCUACCCCAGGGCCCGCAUACAGCGGUCGAGAGACAACAUACCCCAAUGCAUCCCUGCUGAUCCAGAACGUCACCCAGAAUGACACAGGAUUCUACACCCUACAAGUCAUAAAGUCAGAUCUUGUGAAUGAAGAAGCAACUGGACAGUUCCAUGUAUACCCGGAGCUGCCCAAGCCCUCCAUCUCCAGCAACAACUCCAACCCCGUGGAGGACAAGGAUGCUGUGGCCUUCACCUGUGUAUCUGAGACUCAGGACACAACCUACCUGUGGUGGAUAAACAAUCAGAGCCUCCCAGUCAGUCCCAGGCUGCAGCUGUCCAAUGGCAACAGGACCCUCACUCUACUCAGUGUCACAAGGAAUGACACAGGACCCUAUGAGUGUGAAAUACAGAACCCAGUGAGUGCGAACCGCAGUGACCCAGUCACCUUGAAUGUCACCUAUGGCCCGGACACCCCCACCAUUUCCCCUUCAGACACCUAUUACCGUCCAGGGGCAAACCUCAGCCUCUCCUGCUAUGCAGCCUCUAACCCACCUGCACAGUACUCCUGGCUUAUCAAUGGAACAUUCCAGCAAAGCACACAAGAGCUCUUUAUCCCCAACAUCACUGUGAAUAAUAGUGGAUCCUAUACCUGCCACGCCAAUAACUCAGUCACUGGCCGCAACAGGACCACAGUCAAGACGAUCAUAGUCACUGGUCUCCCGUCCUCGGAGAGGAUGAAGCUGUCCCAGGGCAACACCACCCUCAGCAUAAACCCUGUCAAGAGGGAGGAUGCUGGGACGUAUUGGUGUGAGGUCUUCAACCCAAUCAGUAAGAACCAAAGCGACCCCAUCAUGCUGAAUGUAAACUGUAAGUGACUCCUCACCCCUUCCUAUAUGUCCCUCUAGGAUUACUCUGUCAAUGGUGUGCAAAAUGGAUAAAACUCACAGGAGGCAAAAUAUCAAUGAAGAGACCAUUAUAGCAAACAGAAUUGCAAAGUGGCUAAGAGCUCAGCUCAGGCCGGGCACAGUGGCUCACGCCUGUAAUCCCAGCAAUUAGGGAGGCCGAGGCGGGCGGAUCACGAGGGCAGGAGAUCGAGACCAUCCUGGCUAAUAUGGUGAAACCCCGUGUCUACUAAAAAUACAAAAAAAAAUUAGCUGGGCGUGGUGGUGGGCGCCUGUAGUCCCAGCUACUCGGGAGGCUGAGGCGGGAGAAUGGCGUGAACCCGGGAGGCGGAGCUUUCAGUGAGCCGAGAUGGCGCCACUGCACUCCAGUCUGGGCAACAAAGCAAGACUCCAUCUC
rnacentral:sRNA from 1 species